AUGGACCCCCAAGGAACUGGGAGUUAUAUGGAUAGUAUCCAAGAGCCUGUUGUUGGAUUUGCUCGCCCCAGAAGACCUUCCUGGUGCCAGCCAGACCAUCGUAUUCUUUUCCCGCCUCAGCCGCCACCACCGCCAUCUUCUCCUACCGACCCUCCAGCCUCUUAUUUGAUGUUUUUGAAGCUCUACAGCGUCGUUGUCUGCUGUCUCCUUUCCUGCAACCUGAUCAGUCGGGUUGUUGGUCUUCGGUACAGGACGACAACCAACACGGUAUCCGUGUGUUGGGGUUCCCGCACAGCGUAUCCGACUCCCAUGAGCUCUAGACGGUUCCACCACAGGCGAGACACACGUGACAGAGAAGCGCCGGACCCUCUCCUUGGGAGUCUCUGA
rnacentral:lncRNA from 1 species